UCAACCUCAGGGAGCUCAAUUCCCACGUGGUGUACCGCCAUUUCAAAAUGGAGGGUAUCCACCUUCUCCGGGAUCUGCUUCGAGACAACGACUGGUUCACGCAACUAGACCUCAAGGACGCGUACCUUACCUGGUGCACGAAAGGAGACGCUCCUAUCUCCGCUUCCACUGGUUCCACAUACAGAGGGUGAUGCUGACCCUCAUUACGCCACUAUGGCAGAGCCAACCAUGGUUCCCGGACCUUCUUGAACUGUCGAACAGGGAUCCCCUCCUCCUACCAGAUACUCCAACCUCCUCAGGAACGGCUUCCUCUGGUGGCCUGGACUCUUUCCGGGGGUUGCUGGCGAACCGAGGACUUAUCGCAGGAAACUAGGGAUCUCCUAUGGGAUUCAUGUGCACCAGGAACAAGGAGG